UAGUACUGUGAAGGAACGGUGAAAAGAACCCCGGGAGGGGAGUGAAAUAGAACCUGAAACUGUAGACUUACAAGCGGUCAGAGCCCUGUAGAGGGUGAUGGCGUGCCUUUUGUAGAAUGCACCUGCGAGUUACGAUAUAUAGCGAGGUUAAGGAAUAGGAGUUCCGGAGCCGGAGGGAAACCGAGUCUUAAUAGGGCGAGUGAGUUGUUGAGUUGUAUGUCGUAGACCCGAAGCCAAGUGAUCUAUUUAUGGUCAGGCUGAAGCUUGGGUAAAGCCAAGUGGAGGGCCGAACGCUAGUCUGUGAAAAAGGCAGCGAUGAACUGUGAAUAGGAGUGAAAGGCUAAUCAAACUUGGAGAUAGCUGGUACUCCCCGAAAUAGCUUUAGGGCUAGCCUCACGGGAGUGUUGCGGAGGUAGAGCACUGAAUGUGUGCGGGCCCUUCACCGGGUACCAAAUGUAAUCAAACUCCGAAUACCGUAACAUAAGCCGUGGGAGUCAGACUCUGGACAAUAAGAUCCUGGGUCGAAAGGGAAACAGCCCAGACCAACAGCUAAGGUCCCUAAGUGUAUACUAAGUGGAAAAGGAAGUGUAAUUGCAGAGACAGCCAGGAGGUUGGCUUAGAAGCAGCCAUUCCUUAAAAGAGUGCGUAAUAGCUCACUGGUCGAGUAGUAAUGCACCGAUAAUGUAACGGGGCUAAGUAUACCACCGAAGCUUUGGCUCUCGCGCUAGACGCGAGGGGGUAGGGGAGCAUUCCCGAUGGUGAUGAAGGUGUGGCGGAAGCCUAGCUGGAGCUAAGGGAAGAGAGAAUGCAGGUAUGAGUAACGAAAAGGGAGGUGAGAUCCCUCCCCGCCGGAAGUCCGAGGUUUCCAGGGUAAAGGUAAUCUGCCCAAGGGUUAGUCGGCCCCUAAGGCGAGGCUGAAAAGCGUAGUCGAUGGGAAACUGGUUAAUAUUCCAGUACCUCUUUUAGUUUCGAUGGAACGACGUAUGAGGCGAUCUGUUGCCAGGCGAUGGUAGUCCUGGUCUAAGCAAUAAGCUGUUGAGAUGUGUAGGCAAAUCCGCACGUUGAGGUGAGUUGUGAAAGAUAGUCUUCUCAAGGGAAGAUGAAGAGCAAGGAGUCAUGGUACCGAGAAAUAGUUUCUAAGGUUAUGGCUAAAAGAGACCGUACCGAAACCGACACAGGUGGACGAGCUGAGAAUGCUAAGGCGUACGGGAGAAUUCGCGUUAAGGAACUCGGCAAAAUGCACACGUAACUUCGGGAGAAGUGUGGCCCUAAGGGUUUUAGGAUCUGGAGGGUUGCAGAGAAAUGGCCCAAUCGACUGUUUACCAAAAACACAGGUCUAUGCGAACCAGCAAUGGGAAGUAUAUGGACUGACACCUGCCCGGUGCUGGAAGGUUAAGGGGAGCGGUGAGAGCUGCGAGCUUAAGCCCCAGUAAACGGCGGCCGUAACUAUAACGGUCCUAAGGUAGCGAAAUUCCUUGUCGGGUAAGUUCCGACCCGCACGAAUGGUGUAACGAAUUGGGCACUGUCUCAACGCGAAACCCGGUGAAAUUGAAGUAUCGGUGAAGAUGCCGAUUACCUAUGGUUAGACGGAAAGACCCCGUGAACCUUUACUGCAGCUUGACAUUGUGAUUUGAAUGAUGAUGUGUAGGAUAGGUGGGAGACUGAGAUCUCUGGUCGUUAGGCUGGAAGGAGUCGCUGGUGAAAUACCACCCUUUAUCAUUCAAAUUUCUAACGCUUACCGUUAUCCGGUAAGCGGACCAUGUCAGGUGGGCGGUUUGACUGGGGCGGUCGCCUCCUAAAGAGUAACGGAGGCGCGCGAUGGUCACCUUAAGAUGGUUGGAAAUCAUCUGGUAAGUGUAAGGGCACAAGGUGGCUUGACUGCGAGUCCUACAAGACGAGCAGGUACGAAAGUAGGUCUUAGUGAUCUGGUGGUUCUGAGUGGAAGGGCCAUCACUUAACGGAUAAAAGGUACUCCGGGGAUAACAGGCUUAUCCUGCCCAAGAGUUCACAUCGACGGCAGGGUUUGGCACCUCGAUGUCGGCUCAUCGCAUCCUGGGGCUGGAGUCGGUCCCAAGGGUUUGGCUGUUCGCCAAUUAAAGCGGUACGCGAGCUGGGUUCAGAACGUCGUGAGACAGUUCGGUCCCUAUCUGCCAUGGGCGUUGGAAGUUUGAGGAGAUCUGUUCUUAGUACGAGAGGACCGGAAUGGACGAACCUCUAGUGUACCAGUUAUCGUGCCAACGGUAAUUGCUGGGUAGCUACGUUCGGAAGGGAUAACCGCUGAAAGCAUCUAAGCGGGAAGCCCACUUCAAGAUGAGACUUCCCAACCUAGAAGGUUGU
rnacentral:rRNA from 1 species